CGAGGUGUUCAGUGCAGUGUUUAGGUAUUACUCAUGCAUGCACUGAUUCCUGCCUAAUGGGGUAAUUGUACUGCUGAGCUGCUGAUUUCUGUGGCCUUUAACAUUGAGCCCAGAAUUUUGGUGAAUCUUUCCUAAGAGCAGGCGCUCAGAGGGGUGGCAAAUAAAGAAUCAUGGAA